rnacentral:lncRNA from 1 species
AACCUCGGGGUGCCGCCUCCACAGGCUGUGGCUGGGGCUGGGGCGCGGGAGGCCCGCGGGGCUUCGGAGAGGGAAACUUAGAGAAAAGUCUUCCACUUGGCUUGGGGCCGCAGGGGAAGGAAGACGCCCUCCGCCUGUGCCGGCGCCGACCGCGGGCCGGCAGGUGGGGAGGCCCAGAGCUGGCGGGGAGUUCGUCCCACUCGGAGCCACAGCCUUGCCCGAGGGAGCCUCGAAAUCGUUCAAGGGCAACCUCAGACCAGAGCCAGGGCGCCUCCUCCACAUUCCUGACAGAUGUGCACGCCGCCUCCUCUUGGAUGCUUCCCGUGACAAGGAGCUCACUCCUCAACAAGGCGGACUGCUCGUCCAUCAAGCCUGGCAUCUAAUUCACCUGUGCCGGGUACCGCAGAUGGAGAACGCCAGACAGCUGACACAAAUGCAAGACCCACAGCAACCCCAGAGGCUGAAUUAUUUCCUCCUGGAUGGGAAUGAGUCAUCUCCUCCGCCGUCUCCCUCAACAGGGCUGUAACAUGUUUCCAAGGGUUUCAAAGCCCUGUUUGAAAACAUGGGCUUUGCGGACAGACCCAUGUUCAACUUCAACCCCAGCGGCUUCUGGGUGGGUGGCCUUGAGCAAGUCUCUUCCCAAAGGCUCAUCUUGCUCAUCUAUAAACACAGUCCUAGACCUCUUUCCCUCCUCUACUGAGAGAUCAUCCUGCAACUCCCAAGAGUACAUGUCUCUAUUGCAGCUAUACUGAAACUGAUCAGCACCUCACAGUCCCAGUUCCCGCUUCUCAGGAGGAGUAAUCUCAUGGACCCAUCUUGGCUGUGAGGGGUGGGCAAACUCAGAGAGAGGGUACUAAGUUGCUGAGAAGACAAACAGCUUUCCAAGCAGCCCCCAAACUGUAUUAUUGGGGAAGCUUCUUAUCUGGUGGAAGCUACUUCAGGGAACACACAAAUGAUAAGAAAGAAAAACAGUCUUAUUGCUAAGUUGGAAAAAGUUUGAGUGGUCUGGAUAGAAGAACAAACCAGCCAUAACAGUCCCUUCAGCCAAAGCCUAGUCAGAGCAAGGUCUUAACUCUCUUCUAUUCUCUGAAGCCUGAGAGAGGUGAGGAAGCUGCAGAAGAGAAGUUUGAUGCUAGCAGAGGUUAGUUCAUGAGGUUUAAGAAAAGAAGUCAUCCUAUAACAUAAAAGUACAAGGUGUGCAGAUCACCAAGGGGUAUUUAAAAAAAUAAAAAUAAAAAAUAAAGUACAAGGUGAAGGAGCACGUGCUGAUACAGAAGUUGCAGCAAGUUAUCCAGAAGAUCUAGCUAAGAUCACUGAGGAAGGCGGCUACACUAAACAACAGAUUUUCAGUGGAGACACAACAGCUUUCUAGUGGAAGAAAAUGCUACCUACGGCUUUCACAGCUGGAGAGGAGGAGUCAAUACCUGGUUUCUAAGCUUCAGAGGACAGGCUGAACUCUCUUGUUAAGGGCUAAUGCAACUGGUGACUUUAAGUUGAAGCCAAUGCUCAUUUACCAUUUUGAAAAUCCUCAGGCUCUUAAGAAUCAUGCUAAAUCAACUCUUCCUAUAAAUGAAAUAACAUUUCACUAUUUCUAUAAAUGAAAUAACAUUUCACUAUUUCUAUAAAUGAAAUAACAUUUCAUUAUUUCUAUAAAUGAAAUAACAAGGCUUGAAUGACAGCACAUCUGUUUACUGGUUUACAGUAAAGAGCACAUCUGGUUUACUGAAAAUUUAAACCCACUGUUGAGACCUACUGCAGAGAAAAAAUGAUUCUUCUCAAAAUAUGACUGCUCAAUGACAAUGCACCUGAUCACCUAUGAGCUCUGAUGAAGAUGUACAAGGAGAUUAACAUUGUUUUCAUGCCUGCUAACACCAACAUUCAUUCUGCAGCCCAUGGGCCAAGGAAUAAUUUAGACUUUCAAGUCUUAUAAUUUAAGAAAUACAUUUUCUAAGGCUAUUGCUGCCACAUAUAGUGAUUCCUCUGAUGGAUCUGGGCAAAGUAAAUUGAAAACCUUCUGGAAAGGACUCACCAUUCUAGAUGCCAUUAAGAACAUUUGUGAUUCAUGGGAGAAGGUCAAAAUAUCAGUACUAACAGGAGUAUGAAAGAAGUUGAUACCAACCCUAGUAGAUGACUUUGAGGGGUUCAGGACUUCAGUGGAGGAAGUCAUUGCAGAUGUGGGAAUAGCAAGAGAACUAGAAUUCCAUGGGCAUCCUGAGGAUGUGACCGAAUUGCUGCAAUCUCAUAAAAUGAAUGGAUGAGGAGUUGCUUCUUAUGGAUGAGCAAAGAAAGUGGUUUCUUGAGAUAGAAUCUACUCCCGGUGAAGACACUGUAAACAUUGUUGAAAUGACAACAAAAGAUUUGUAAUAUUCCGUAAACUUAGUUGAUAAAGCAGCAGCUGGGUUUGAGAGAAUGGACUCUAAUUUUGACACAAGUUCUACAGUGGGUAAAAUGCUAUCAAGCAGCAUUGCACGCUACAGAGAAAUCUUUUACGAAAGGAAGAGUCCUUCGAUGCAGCAAACGUUAUUCUUGUCUCAUUUUAGGAAAUUGCCAUAGCCGUUCUGACCUUUAGCAACCACCACCCUGAUCUAUUAGCAGCCAUCAACAUCAAGGCAAGACCCUCUACCAGCAAAAAGGCUCAGAGGAUUUUCAGCAUUUUUUGGCAAUAAAGCAUAUUUUAAUUUAGGUAUGCACAUUGGUUUCUCAUAAUAGAUAUACUGCUAUUGCACACUUAGUAGACUACAGUAUAAAUAUAACUUUUAUAUGUACUGGGAAACCAAAAAAAUACAUAUGACUUGCACAAUAAAGUGAUAUUCGCUGUAUUGAAUUGGUCUGGAACUGAACCACCAACGAACCUGCAAUGUCUCCGAGGUAUGCCUGCACCGCCUAGGAAAACUUAAGUGCCCACUAUUGAGAGGUGCUGCAAUUGCUAAUCAUUGCUAAUCCUGCUCGCCUGUCUUUUGCUUGGAGGACCAGGACUGCCUCUGACACUUCCUUGUAUAGUGUGCUUAGCAAAAAAGAUGUUCCAUAACUACUUGGGGGUAAGGAUGUGAUUUGUUUUUGUUUCGCUUCUCCUUUUUGGGGAUAUUUACUUCCUCUGAAAAUCAAAUGUGUUCUCAAGUGUGUUUCAGUGUAAUAAACCAGGGUGGUUCAUUUGA